rnacentral:lncRNA from 8 species
UGAGGACUAUUUCCAAACAUCCUGCCUUAAUAAAGAUAUUACAAACUAGCGUUCUGUUCAGUAAUGUAAGUCUGGUAACUCUGGCUUUAGCAAUGUUAGUCUUUGAAAAGAGAAAAUGCAAAGGCAACGGCUGCUAAGAAUAAUUCUCUAUGCAGGGUAUGAGUUGUGUUGUGGCGUGUGGUUAUGUGGUGUUGCAAUGAUACUGCUUUGCCCAUAGGGUGCAUUUCAAAACAUCCUACCUCAAUGGUAGAAGUUUCAAAGUUGACUAAUUAUGGCACAAGCUGUGAGGCUACACGGUAACGGAAAAGCAAAAGUCUUGACAGAUUCACGCCUUCACAAAAGAGACAGUCCUUUUAGAGUUAAAGGACUCACAAAAGAUGGAGACUUCACAGAGGUCUCCCGUUCAGUCAUCCUUUCUGAUCUCAAUAAUAGUUGUGCUGAAUAUCAUCGUAUGGAUGUUUCUAAUGUCAGCAGUGGGAUUAGGGGCUAUGCACCUACAUGACUGCCCCUUACAGCCUUAUAUCCCCAUCUACCUGCUGGUGUUCGGGGUGACGUCCAUCGCCUCCCUGCUCCUAUCCUACCUCAAUAACACACUGGAGACUGGCUUCCUGAGCCUACUGUGUUCCUCCUGCAUCUUCCUGCUCCAGCUCUUCAACCUCGGCUGGUUCAUCACAGGGAGUGAGUGGGUGUACUCCAUAUAUCCCCCGAACUAUGACUCGAAUGGUGGAGAGAAGUACUGUCAGAGGAAGAUAUACCUGUUUGCUUUCUGGUUCAACAGCCUGGGCAGCAUCUGUAUGGCUGUGGGGUUCUUCUGUGCAGUGUACUUCCUCUUCCUUACCUGUGUGAAAAUGGCAUUUAGGGGACACCAUUUACUCCAUUCACAUAAGAGAUCGUAUGGUGUGGACGCUUGA